GACGAACGCUGGCGGCGUGCUUAACACAUGCAAGUCGAGCGGUAAGGCUCCUUCGGGAGUACACGAGCGGCGAACGGGUGAGUAACACGUGAGCAACCUGCCCUUCUCAUCGGAAUAAGCGUUGGAAACGACGUCUAAUGCCGAAUACGACUUCGGAAGGCAUCUUCUGAAGUGGAAAGCUCCGGCGGAGAGGGAUGGGCUCGCGGCCUAUCAGCUUGUUGGUGGGGUAAUGGCCCACCAAGGCGACGACGGGUAGCCGGCCUGAGAGGGUGACCGGCCACACUGGGACUGAGACACGGCCCAGACUCCUACGGGAGGCAGCAGUGGGAAUAUUGGACAAUGGGCGCAAGCCUGAUCCAGCAACGCCGCGUGAGGGAUGACGGCCUUCGGGUUGUAAACCUCUUUCAGCAGGGUACGAAGCGCAAGUGACGGUACCUGCAGAAGAAGGACCGGCCAACUACGUGCCAGCAGCCGCGGUAAUACGUAGGGUCCGAGCGUUGUCCGGAAUUAUUGGGCGUAAA
rnacentral:rRNA from 1 species